rnacentral:rRNA from 1 species
AUUGAACGCUGGCGGCAUGCCUUACACAUGCAAGUCGAACGGCAGCACGGGAGCAAUCCUGGUGGCGAGUGGCGAACGGGUGAGUAAUAUAUCGGAACGUGCCCAGUCGUGGGGAUAACGUAGCGAAAGCUACGCUAAUACCGCAUACGAUCUAUGGAUGAAAGCGGGGGAUCGCAAGACCUCGCGCGAUUGGAGCGGCCGAUAUCAGAUUAGGUAGUUGGUGAGGUAAAGGCUCACCAAGCCGACGAUCUGUAGCUGGUCUGAGAGGACGACCAGCCACACUGGGACUGAGACACGGUCCAGACUCCUACGGGAGGCAGCAGUGGGGAAUAUUGGACAAUGGGCGAAAGCCUGAUCCAGCCAUGCCGCGUGUGUGAAGAAGGUCUUCGGAUUGUAAAGCACUUUAAGUUGGGAGGAAGGGUAGGUAACCUAAUACGUUGCUACUUUGACGUUACCGACAGAAUAAGACACCGGCUAACUUACGUG